UCCCUGAUGGCUCAGAAGGUAAAGCGUCUGUCUUCAAUGCAGGAGACCCGUGUUCGAGCCCUGGGUUGGGAA
rfam:Ovis aries breed Texel chromosome 3, whole genome shotgun sequence.